rnacentral:misc_RNA from 1 species
UUUUUUGUUUCGAUAUUUCGUUACAUACUUUAACUAGUGUUUAAAAUGAGCCGCAAGAAGGGGGUUUAACGAGAUGUUGAAGCGCCUUGAUAAAAAGCAACCUUUUCGUCUCGUUAAAUCUCCUCUCGCCAAAAAAAUGCACAGAGUUUGAAAGUGGAGGUCACGCUCUCCGAAGAGAUACGCUAUAUUCACUAAUGAUCCUUCCGCAGGUUCACCUACGGAAA